CCUACGGGAGGCAGCAGUGAGGAAUAUUGGUCAAUGGGCUCACGCCUGAACCAGCCAAGUCGCGUGAGGGAAGACUGCCCUCUGGUUUGUAAACCUCUUUUGUCAGGGAGCAACGCCGGCUACGUGUAGACGGACUUAGAGUUCCUGAAGUACAAGCAUCGGCUAACUCCGUGCCAGCAGCCGCGGUAAUACGGAGGAUGCGAGCGUUAUCCGGAUUUAUUGGGUUUAAAGGGUGCGUAGGCGGAAUGCCAAGUCAGCGGUAAAAUCCCGGGGCUCAACCUGGCGCCGCGGUUGAUACUGGCGUUCUUGAGUGGGGGAGAAGUAUGCGGAAUGCGUGGUGUAGCGGUGAAAUGCAUAGAUAUCACGCAGAACACCGAUGGCGAAGGCAGCAUGCCGGGGCCCAACUGACGCUGAAGCACGAAAGCGUGGGUAUCGAACAGGAUUAGAUACCCGGGUAGUC
rnacentral:rRNA from 1 species